UACGGAGGGUGCAAGCGUUAUCCGGAUUCACUGGGUUUAAAGAGUGUGUAGGCGGUGCUCCCAGUCUGUUGUGAAAUCUCCCGGCUUAACUGGGAGGGUGCAGCGGAAACUAGAGUGCUAGAGGGUGGGAGAGGUAAGCGGAAUUCCUGGUGUAGCGGUGAAAUGCGUAGAUAUCAGGAGGAACACCUGUGGUGUAGACAGCUUACUGGACCACUUCUGACGCUGAGACACGAAAGCGUGGGUAGCAAACAGG
rnacentral:rRNA from 1 species